rnacentral:rRNA from 1 species
GCUGGAAUCGCUAGUAAUCGCGGAUCAGAAUGCCGCGGUGAAUACGUUCCCGGGUCUUGUACACACCGCCCGUCACACCAUGAGAGUCGAUAACACCCGAAGCCUGUGAGCUAACCUUUUAGGAGGCAGCAGUCGAAGGUGGGGUUGAUGAUUGGGGUGAAGUCGUAACAAGGUAGC